GACGAACGCUGGCGGCGUGCUUAACACAUGCAAGUCGAACGGAAAGGCCCUGCUUUUGUGGGGUGCUCGAGUGGCGAACGGGUGAGUAACACGUGAGUAACCUGCCCUUGACUUUGGGAUAACUUCAGGAAACUGGGUCUAAUACCGGAUAGGAGCUCCUGCUGCAUGGUGGGUGUUGGAAAGUUUCGGCGGUUGGGGAUGGACUCGCGGCUUCUCAGCUUGUUGGUGGGGUAGUGGCUUACCAAGGCUUUGACGGGUAGCCGGCCUGAGAGGGUGACCGGCCACAUUGGGACGUAGAUACAGCCCACACUGCUACGGGAGGCAGCCGGGGGGAAUGUUGCACACUGGGCGGAAGCAUGAUCCAGCAACGCCGCGAGCGGGAUGACGGCCUUCGGGUUGUAAACCGCUUUCGCCUGUGACGAAGCGUGGGUGACGGUAAUGGGUAAAGAAGCACCGGCUAACUACGUG
rnacentral:rRNA from 1 species